UGUGGCAGAAAAGUGCCAUGGGUUUAAGCUCCAUUUAUAGAGAAUUUUAUCCUCUCAUUAGAA
rnacentral:tRNA from 1 species